UGGAGUGCGGGGCGGAGAAGAGAGAAAAGGAAGGAAGGAAGGAAAGGGCAGGAAGAACCUUAAAAAAAAAAAAAAAAGCAACCAAAGAAAAAAGGCUGUGCUGGAUGUCGUGGGCAGUAGCUUGGGGACCAGGAGCCAGGCCAGAGGACCCUCUUCCAGAAGGCACUCCUUUACCUGAGCUGGAGCUGCUGGUUUUCUGCUUUGUGUUUUGUCGAGACUCUUUCAUCCAGGGGAAGAUUUGUUUGGCCACUGUGGGAAAAGAAAACGCCAAGACAUAGAAAACCAUGCUUUUCCCGUAGGAAGAACCGAUGAUGAGCCCUGAUGAAAGAAGGGAGAAGACCCGCUGUCUGCGAAGGCCUAAAGGUUAGAAAUACAGCAAUUUUUCUCAUGCCGAAGGAAAGGCAAAAUGAUCUAAGAAACUGCAAGGCAGUGAUACACGUUUUCCUCAACAGCGAGCUGAGACUGGCGACAAUUUCUUAACUCACAGCCUCAGCAGUCGCCUCAGUCGAC
rnacentral:antisense_RNA from 1 species